AUACGGAGGGGGCGAGCGUUACUCGGAGUCACUGGGCGUAAAGCGUCCGUAGGCGGUCGGGUAAGUCGGGUGUGAAAGCCCCGGGCUCAACCUGGGAAGUGCACCCGAUACUGCUCGACUCGAGUGCGGGAGAGGAUGGCUGAAUUCCCGGUGUAGCGGUGAAAUGCGUAGAGAUCGGGAGGAACACCAGUGGCGAAGGCGGCCAUCUGGCCCGCAACUGACGCUGAGGGACGAAAGCGUGGGGAGCAAACAGGAUUAGAAACCCUUGUAGUCC
rnacentral:rRNA from 1 species